rnacentral:rRNA from 1 species
CUCUGAUGUUAGCGGCGGACGGGUGAGUAACACGUGGGUAACCUGCCUGUAAGACUGGGAUAACUCCGGGAAACCGGGGCUAAUACCGGAUGGUUGUUUGAACCGCAUGGUUCAAACAUAAAAGGUGGCUUCGGCUACCACUUACAGAUGGACCCGCGGCGCAUUAGCUAGUUGGUGAGGUAACGCCUCACCAAGGCAACGAUGCGUAGCCGACCUGAGAGGGUGAUCGGCCACACUGGGACUGAGACACGGCCCAGACUCCUACGGGAGGCAGCAGUAGGGAAUCUUCCGCAAUGGACGAAAGUCUGACGGAGCAACGCCGCGUGAGUGAUGAAGGUUUUCGGAUCGUAAAGCUCUGUUGUUAGGGAAGAACAAGUACCGUUCGAAUAGGGCGGUACCUUGACGGUACCUAACCAGAAAGCCACGGCUAACUACGUGCCAGCAGCCGCGGUAAUACGUAGGUGGCAAGCGUUGUCCGGAAUUAUUGGGCGUAAAGGGCUCGCAGGCGGUUUCUUAAGUCUGAUGUGAAAGCCCCCGGCUCAACCGGGGAGGGUCAUUGGAAACUGGGGAACUUGAGUGCAGAAGAGGAGAGUGGAAUUCCACGUGUAGCG